rnacentral:ncRNA from 1 species
GGUGGGGAUGACGUCAAGUCCGCAUGGCCCUUAUGGGCUGGGCCACACACGUGCUACAAUGGCAAUGACAAUGGGAAGCAAGGCUGUAAGGCGGAGCGAAUCCGGAAAGAUUGCCUCAGUUCGGAUUGUUCUCUGCAACUCGGGAACAUGAAGUUGAAAUCGCUAGUAGUCGCGGAUCAGCAUGCCGCGGUGAAUAUGUACCCGGGCCCUGUACACACCGCCCGUCACACCCUGGGAAUUGGUUUCGCCCGAAGCAUCGGACCAAUGAUCACCCAUGACUUCUGUGUACCACUAG